UACAGAGGGGCAAGCGUUAUUCGGAAUUAUUGGGCGUAAAGGGCGCGUAGGCGGCCUUUCAAGUGACGGGUGAAAGCCCUCGGCUUAACCGAGGAACUGCCUGUCAGACUGGAAGGCUUGAGACCGGGAGAGGUGAGUGGAAUUCCCAGUGUAGCGGUGAAAUGCGUAGAUAUUGGGAGGAACACCAGUGGCGAAGGCGGCUCACUGGACCGGUACGUGACGCUGAGGCG
rnacentral:rRNA from 1 species